rnacentral:rRNA from 1 species
UACGUAGGGUGCGAGCGUUGUCCGGAAUUACUGGGCGUAAAGAGCUCGUAGGUGGUUUGUCGCGUUGUUCGUGAAAACUCACAACUCAAUUGUGGGCGUGCGGGCGAUACGGGCAGACUGGAGUACUGCAGGGGAGACUGGAAUUCCUGGUGUAGCGGUGGAAUGCGCAGAUAUCAGGAGGAACACCGGUGGCGAAGGCGGGUCUCUGGGCAGUAACUGACGCUGAGGAGCGAGAGCGUGGGGAGCGAACAGG